rnacentral:rRNA from 1 species
UGGGGAAUCUUCCGCAAUGGACGAAAGUCUGACGGAGCAACGCCGCGUGAGUGAUGACGGCCUUCGGGUUGUAAAGCUCUGUUAAUCGGGACGAAUGGUUCUUGUGCGAAUAGUGCGAGGAUUUGACGGUACCGGAAUAGAAAGCCACUGCUAACUACGUGCCAGCAGCCGCGGUAAUACGUAGGUGGCAAGCGUUGUCCGGAAUUAUUGGGCGUAAAGCGCGCGCAGGCGGAUCAGUUAGUCUGUCUUAAAAGUUCGGGGCUUAACCCCGUGAUGGGAUGGAAACUGCUGAUCUAGAGUAUCGGAGAGGAAAGUGGAAUUCCUAGUGUAGCGGUGAAAUGCGUAGAUAUUAGGAAGAACACCAGUGGCGAAGGCGACUUUCUGGACGAAAACUGACGCUGAGGCGCGAAAGCCAGGGGAGCGAACGGGAUUAGAUACCCCGGUAGUCCUGGCCGUAAACGAUGGGUACUAGGUGUAGGAGGUAUCGACCCCUUCUGUGCCGGAGUUAACGCAAUAAGUACCCCGCCUGGGGAGUACGACCGCAAGGUUG